GUGGCACCUGAAGUCCUCCAUAGAUCUUAUAGCACGGAGGCUGAUGUAUGGAGUAUAGGUGUUAUAGCAUAUAUUCUAUUGUGUGGUAGUCGUCCAUUUUGGGCCCGUAAUGAGUCCGGAAUUUUUCGGGCAGUCUUGAAAGCUGAUCCAAGUUUUGAUGAAGCACCUUGGCCUUCUUUAUCUCCGGAAGCAAAAGACUUUGUAAAACGCCUAUUGAACAAGGACCCCAGGAAGCGAAUGACUGCAGCUCAGGCCUUAGGUCAUCCCUGGAUCCGGAAUCAUAAUGAUGUAAAAGU
rnacentral:misc_RNA from 1 species